rnacentral:rRNA from 1 species
GAUGGGCAUGCGUGACAUUAGCUAGUUGGUAAGGUAACGGCUUACCAAGGCUGCGAUGUCUAGGGGUCCUGAGAGGGUGAUCCCCCACACUGGUACUGAGACACGGACCAGACUCCUACGGGAGGCAGCAGUGAGGAAUAUUGGUCAAUGGGCGUAAGCCUGAACCAGCCAUCCCGCGUGCAGGAAGAAGGCGCUAUGCGUCGUAAACUGCUUUUUCAGGGGAAGAAAACCCGCUACGAGUAGCGGCUUGCCGGUACCCUGUGAAUAAGCAUCGGCUAACUCCGUGCCAGCAGCCGCGGUAAUACGGAGGAUGCGAGCGUUAUCCGGAUUUAUUGGGUUUAAAGGGUGCGUAGGCGGAUUAAUAAGUCAGUGGUGAAAACCUGCAGCUUAACUGUAGAAUUGCCAUUGAUACUGUUAGUCUUGAGUACGGUCAAGGUAGGCGGAAUGUGUAAUGUAGCGGUGAAAUGCUUAGAUAUUACACAGAACACCGAUUGCGAAGGCAGCUUACUGGGCCAUUACUGACGCUGAUGCACGAAAGCGUGGGGAGCGAACAGGAUUAGAU